rnacentral:rRNA from 1 species
UCGUGCGCGAAGGUGGCUUCGGCCACCGGAGAGCGGCGAACGGGUGAGUAACACGUGGGUGAUCUGCCUGGGAGUGGGGGAUAACCUGGGGAAACUCGGGCUAAUACCGCAUACGUUGUUCAGGUUGCGACCUGGACAGGAAAGCUGGCCUCUGUUUACAAGCUAGCACUCCCAGAGGAGCCCGCGGCUGAUUAGCUAGUUGGUGGGGUAAUGGCCCACCAAGGCGACGAUCAGUAGCCGGCCUGAGAGGGUGAUCGGCCACACUGGGACUGAGACACGGCCCAGACUCCUACGGGAGGCAGCAGUGGGGAAUAUUGGACAAUGGGCGCAAGCCUGAUCCAGCAACGCCGCGUGGAGGACGAAGGUCUUCGGAUCGUAAACUCCUGUCAGGCGGGACGAAGGCUGCGAGGCAAAUAGUCUCGUAGCUUGACGGUACUGCCAGAGGAAGCCCCGGCUAACUCCGUGCCAGCAGCCGCGGUAAUACGGAGGGGGCGAGCGUUA